UGGGGAAUUUUGGACAAUGGGCGCAAGCCUGAUCCAGCCAUGCCGCGUGAGUGACGAAGGCCUUAGGGUUGUAAAGCUCUUUUGGCGGGGAAGAUAAUGACGGUACCCGCAGAAUAAGCUCCGGCUAACUUCGUGCCAGCAGCCGCGGUAAUACGAAGGGAGCUAGCGUUGUUCGGAAUCACUGGGCGUAAAGCGCACGUAGGUGGGCAGUUAAGUCAGGGGUGAAAGCCCGAGGCUCAACCUCGGAAUUGCCUCUGAUACUGGCUGCCUAGAGUUCGAGAGAGGUGAGUGGAAUUCCUAGUGUAGAGGUGAAAUUCGUAGAUAUUAGGAAGAACACCGGUGGCGAAGGCGGCUCACUGGCUCGAUACUGACACUGAGGUGCGAAAGCGUGGGGAGCAAACAGGAUUAGAUACCCCUGUAGUCCCUGAGCGGGCUGGCAAGGCGCAU
rnacentral:rRNA from 1 species